rnacentral:rRNA from 1 species
CCUACGGGAGGCAGCAGUGGGGAAUAUUGCACAAUGGAGGAAACUCUGAUGCAGCAACGCCGCGUGAGUGAUGAAGGUCUUCGGAUUGUAAAGCUCUGUCUUCUGGGACGAUAAUGACGGUACCAGAGGAGGAAGCCACGGCUAACUACGUGCCAGCAGCCGCGGUAA